rnacentral:rRNA from 1 species
GAGGGCGUCGCGCGGAUCUUCAGAGAUUAGAGUUUGAUCAUGGCUCAGAGCGAACGCUGGCGGCGUGCUUAACACAUGCAAGUCGAACGUGAAAGUAGCAAUACGAGUAAAGUGGCGUACGGGUGAGUAACACGUGGGUAAUCUACCUUAGAGUUUGGAAUAACCUGCCGAAAGGCGGGCUAAUACUAGAUAGUUCAAAUGUGCCGUAAUGGUACGAUUGGGAAAGGGAGCUGGUAACAGCCUUCGCUUUAAGAUGAGCCUGCGUCUGAUUAGCUAGUUGGUAGGGUAAUGGCCUACCAAGGCGACGAUCAGUAGCUGGUCUGAGAGGAUGAUCAGCCACACUGGAACUGAAACACGGUCCAGACUCCUACGGGAGGCAGCAGUGGGGAAUCUUGCGCAAUGGACGAAAGUCUGACGCAGCCACGCCGCGUGAGUGAAGAAGGCCUUCGGGUUGUAAAGCUCUGUCGGAAGGGACAAAAACGUUCUAGGUUAAUAGCCUAGGAUCUUGAUGGUACCUUUAAAGGAAGCACCGGCUAACUUCGUGCCAGCAGCCGCGGUAAUACGAAGGGUGCAAGCGUUGCUCGGAAUUAUUGGGCGUAAAGGGUAGGUAGGUGGUUGCGUAUGUCUGGGGUGAAAUCCCUGAGCUUAACUCAGGACGUGCCUUAGAAACGGCGUAACUAGAGUGCUAGAGAGGUUCGUGGAAUUCCCAGUGUAGCGGUGAAAUGCGUAGAGAUUGGGAGGAACACCAGAGGCGAAGGCGGCGAACUGGAUAGCAACUGACACUGAACUACGAAAGCGUGGGUAGCAAACAGGAUUAGAUACCCUGGUAGUCCACGCCGUAAACGAUGAGUACUAGGCUUUGCGGGAAUUGACCCCUGCGGGGCCGGAGCUAACGCAAUAAGUACUCCGCCUGGGAAGUACGGUCGCAAGACUAAAACUCAAAGGAAUUGACGGGAGCCCGCACAAGCGGUGGAUUAUGUGGUUUAAUUCGAAGCAACGCGCAGAACCUUACCUAGGUUUGACAUCCUUUGACCGCUGCAGAGAUGCAGCUUUCGUAGCAAUACGACAAAGAGAA